AACUGUUGUCACCUAAAGAAAUCAUUUCAAAUUUAUUGAUUAGAUUUUUUUUUUUAAAUAAAUUAAGACUUUGACGUUUGAGUACUACAUAUGUCUGGAACACUCCCAACAUGAUUAAAGAGGUUACUCAGCAAGCUGUAUGGACUAUAAAAGGUGAUCCUGUCCAUGGCACCACAUGCUGGGAUGACUUCAGCAGAUAUAAAAUCUUGAAACUACAAGCUGCUGUCUCAGCAUGAAGCUCAACAAACAACAGGAUUCUGUAAAAGACUCGGACGCUGUAAUGAGGAUCUUGACAUCCUUUCUUGACGGUAAUAUAUCAGGAAGGAGCGCACCAUCCAGUCUAGUGGUGCUGCACCACCCUCACGUCACUGUAAUGGCUUUCACAACCACGCAAACUGUGAUUCCUCUGGCGAUCUUCAAAGCUUGCGUCCACUGGAUGCGAUCCAUGGAAUAAGCGCUGGAGGAAUUCAAAGCCUUCUCCCUCUGCCGCCAGUCACCCAGUCACUACACAAAGGACUUCAUAUGAUUUCAUCUUCAUGGUCACCAAGAGGAUCCUGGAGAUACAAAAUGCCGUGACUUUGACCCUGAUGAUUCACUGCAUCGGCAGCAGAAUCUAUUUGACUUCUGUACAAAUAUGAAUUUCAGCCAUCAGCAUGUUUCCCUGACGUCUGUUCACUUCUGCCUGAGGGAGGACUGAGCUUGUGGGAGAGCACAGCUAAUGUUAGCAACAAUAAAAUCUAUGCGAUUUUAUUUUUAAACGAGCAUCAGCAGGUUCCUGCCUGGCACAAAUGAAACCACAACAAUAUUCAAAUGCAGCAGAAACGCAGAUUUCCAGUGGUUUCCGCUCAAAUAAAGUGAAAUCGAAAACAGUUAGGUAAUAUUUUACAGUGAUGUUCACACUAUUGAUCAAUUCAGCUUGGACUAGAUUCAGGAGCUAUGAACUGAGUGCCAUAACAAGCGGUCUAUCAGGCUCUAUGCUUUUUAUUUAUUGCCAUGACAAGUGCUGAAACACCAGCAUGACCAAUUAGUCCCAUUCAUCAAUUGAUUUUUGAGCAUUGUGAUCCAUCUUAACAGCCACUACGCUCUUCUUCUCCCACCUCCACGCUCCACAAUGAGCAGUUUCUCAAUACAGUGAACACCAAGGUCAUCAGAAACAAGAAGGGUUACUGGAGGUCGGUCAAUGUGCAUAAUAUUCUGGUAAUGCUGAGGAUGAAUGAUUAAAUAUAAAUUACAC
ensembl:lncRNA